rnacentral:rRNA from 1 species
GAUGAACGCUGGCGGCGUGCCUAAUACAUGCAAGUCGAGCGAACAGAUAAGGAGCUUGCUCCUUUGACGUUAGCGGCGGACGGGUGAGUAACACGUGGGUAACCUACCUAUAAGACUGGAAUAACUCCGGGAAACCGGGGCUAAUGCCGGAUAAUAUUUAGAACCGCAUGGUUCUAAAGUGAAAGAUGGUUUUGCUAUCACUUAUAGAUGGACCCGCGCCGUAUUAGCUAGUUGGUGGGGUAAUGGCUUACCAAGGCAACGAUACGUAGCCGACCUGAGAGAGUGAUCGGCCACACUGGAACUGAGACACGGUCCAGACUCCUACGGGAGGCAGCAGUAGGGAAUCUUCCGCAAUGGGCGAAAGCCUGACGGAGCAACGCCGCGUGAGUGAUGAAGGUCUUCGGAUCGUAAAACUCUGUUAUUAGGGAAGAACAAAUGUGUAAGUAACUGUGCACGUCUUGACGGUACCUAAUCAGAAAGCCACGGCUAACUACGUGCCAGCAGCCGCGGUAA